rnacentral:misc_RNA from 1 species
GACUCUGAGCGAGGCCAAGGUUAUAGCUGGAGUAGCGGAAAUUACUAACAGCAGAUUCCAAGCACUGGCAAACGGCUUGGCGAUCAGGUGUGGUCUGAGCAGCAUUAUAAAGUGUUCUAAUGCCGUUGCAGCAAUUGCCAGGAACUUGCCCACCACUCUGCAAAUAGCCCACGCAUGGAGUCAGCUCUCUUACUACAUCUCCACAUGUUAUUGCUGCUCUUGCUGCCAUUGGAGCAAACAUCAUCAUCACCGCCAGGCUUACAAUCAUAACUAGCUUAACACUUGC